CGCGUUCGACCGACGAAAUCGAGGUCACGGGCCUCCAUUUUGCCUCAAUGGCCAGCCUGCAUUCUUCGAAACAUUUAACCUUGAUCUCUUGGAGAAUUUUGCUGCUCUAAGUUCCUCCAGCAUUACUGUGUGAUCGUGUGCAAAAACGGGUCUAACUGUGCACAAGGGACUAGACAUAAGGACAAAGGACUUAAAGAAUAAUGGCAAUCAAAUAAAAGACUGGGUGUUAAGUUCCCCAUUUAUGAACAGGCAGGGAUCCCUUGUCACAUGUGAAAUGGCCGUUAUGAAUAGAAUUAGUGCUCUGAGAGUUGACAGGUUUGUGGUAGUUCCUUGAUAUGCUUUAUUGUCAAAAUUGUAUUGUUUUAUCUUAUUAACCACAACACUUUCUGGUAGAAAGUGUGUUGCUACCCUCAUUUGGUUUGUGCCUUAAAUUUAUAUGUUAUGGAUGGGACAAAUAUCUUUGUCUUUGCAUACCUGUAUAACAUGGAUCAUUCUGUGCUGGUGCGACAAAAUUGCCAUUUUUAACAUGAUUGUGCUUUCUGCCUUGUUCCCUGACCUCUUUCGGGCUCAUUAGUGUGCUCCAUGUUCAAGUCAUGCUUUGAUGAUGCAUUGUGGUCAAAAUCUGUUUCAUUAUAUUUGGGUUCCAUACCCACCAGCAUGUUUGUGCUGCUAAUGCGUGUAUGUUUUUGUUCUUGUAAUGAGCAGAUGGAUAUAGCUGCAAAGUAUUUAAUGGAAUAUUAGGUAUUUUCAUCCGACUCAUAUCGGGUUGGCUCAGAUAAUGUUUUCAUUUUAAAGAUUCGAAUCAUCUUUGAUCUUUUGGUUGCCUAAUGGGAGCCACUGUUAUCCUGUUUUGGUCCUGUUUCUUGUCAUACAUCCUUUUGUCUUGGACUUAUGGUUCAUCCAUUUGCCCUCAAUCUUGUAAUUGCUUAGAUCAUAAUCUACCACUACAGAUAGCUACCCCAUUAAAAGAACAGAGAUAUGCAGCCCUUUGGGUGGAAAGUGAUAGCCAUUACAUCUAGGCUGCAUUUAUGUGGUCCUGACUUUGGUGGAUGUCCUACUUUUUCUUUUCAAUAUAACACGUGCACCCCUCAUGAGUCGAGGACUCAUGGAAAUCAUUAGUGACUAGAGGUCCCCAUAUUUAGAUCCUUUCUGAAAAAGUAAAGUUGGCCCUAUCCCCAUACAGUGCUAGUAUCUUUGGAUAUUGUUACCCUUGCUUAUCUGUUGUCAGAUAAUUCUCUCUUCUGAUUCUGUGCUUAAAGGCUUCAACUGUGGACUUGAAGGCACUCAUAAGAGAUUGAUAAGUUAAACUAACUGAUGGAAGUACUAUUUUAUUAAGGUAGCUUUUCUUUAUGUCUUCUGAUCUCUCUUAAGAUUUAUUAUUGCAGGGAUACUUGAUCUUGCCAAUUAGAGGAGGCAUCAAGCAUUUAUUAUUGCCCCACUAUCAUCAGCUGCCUUCUUUAAUUAGAAUGUGGUGAUGGACAGAGUAACCACACCGGGUGACACUGUGCUAUUAGUGGAAAUGAAGCUCACCAGAUCUCUGAGCAAACUAAUAUGAUGUUCUGUGCAGGAAAUGAUAUUCCGGGGAACAGAUGUUGUUGCCAUCCUCUUGGAAUGGACCAUGGCAAGAAUGGUUUUACACCCUAAAAUCCAAGCCAAGGCCCAGCAAGAGAUCGACACCAUCGUUGGCAAUCGACCUGUGCGAGAUUCAGACAUGUCGAAGCUUCGGUUUCUUCAAGCCAUCGUCAAGGAGGUCCUGAGAUUGCACCCACCUGGCCCACUUCUCUCAUGGGCCAGGCUAGCCAUCAGGGACGUCCAUGUGGACAAGUUCUUCAUUCCAGCAGGGACUACAGCCAUGGUGAACAUGUGGGCCAUUACCCA